UACAACUCGUGGCAGUGAUGGCAGCUCCUC
rnacentral:piRNA from 1 species